GGUAGUGCGCUAGGUGGCGGAGCUCUGCGGACGAGGGGGAAGGGCGCGGCCGGCACUGAAGUUCCGGCGACCAACGACCGGCGGCUGGCCAAGCCCCUCCUCCCCGCGGCCCGCACCUCGCGCCCGCUGGCUGAGGCCACCCUCCGGCGACUCCCCUACCUGCUGCUUCUUGCCCCGCCAUAGCAGCCCGCUGGAGAAGCCUCUCUGUCGGACCACCGCCGGAGCACCACUCCAGCGCUGCCACCCACUCCGCCCUCUUCCUGUUCCUCCGUUCCCUGCCUCUCCACCUCCAACCCAUUCCAAUUCCAAGAACGGGGCAGCGGAGGAGAAGACAGCCCAACUUAACCAGCCUCAUCUAUUGCUGGAGAAGCUGCACAUUCACGCUUCCAAAUAGAUGACGCCCAGCCCGCCCACCAGUCGCUCGACGAAAUGCCUCCAAGGCAAGGUGUUGCCUGGACAACGUUUUCAGGAGUUGUAGUUGAGUAACACUUGCAAAGCUAAUUUAGCAAUUGAUGUACACAGACAGCCAGUACUUACUGUAGUUCAUGUAUUCAUGAAUUCAUGACUACACAAA